GGCCCGAUGGUCUAGUAGUAUGAUUCUCGCUUUGGGUGUGAGAGGUCCCGGGUUCAAUUCCCGGUCGGGCCC